rnacentral:tmRNA from 1 species
GGGGGUGCAAGCUUCGACGAAAAUCUUUUUUAAAAACCUGCAAGUCGAGCUGGUUGAAACUCGUAAAACUUCAACCAAACAAAAACUGCCAAAGAAAAAUCAGCAGUUCCAGCUUUUGCAUUUGCUUAAAAGCAGCUUAAGUUGGCAUCGGGCCUUUUUGCUCACGGAAGGAAAAUCCGGUGUUAUAAAGUGAGCUCGCUUGUUUUUUUACCUCAAAAAACAAGUUAAACUAAGAGGUAAUAAUUUUUUGCCUUUUAAGGCUAAACUUGUAGAUGGUUUUUAAAAAACUUUUCGGACGAGGGUUCAAUCCCUCCACCUCCACUU